GAGAUGCAGAGGGCAGAGGAGCAACAGCUGAGCGCAGCCCAUUUGCACAGCUGUCUAGCAAGGUCAGGGAGGGAAAGUCUGCACAGGGGAGGUCUGGGCUGGGCAUGUCUGCCAGCAAGUUCCCAGACACUGCCAGGGCUACUCAGGUUGAGAGGGGGCCCGGGGCCCUGGCACUCUCUGGGAAGGAAAGAGGAAGUAACAGGGACAGCUUCCACACCAGUGGGAAAGCAGAAAUUCGGUGAGAAACAGAAGUUCCCUCACACUGCCUUGUGUCAGUUCCUCAAACCUAAAUCGAAAGUCAGCAGGGUGGCAUAAAAAAUCUCGCCAAACUGGAAAUCAAGAGAUUGGGCUGCAUCCUUGAUUUGUCGCUGGCAUGGGCCUCACCAUCUCAACACCUUUACUUUGGGGACGAAGCUAGCAACACAUGAGCUUUGGGAAGAAAGUCAUAUCCAAACCACAGCACACAGUGGAGUGUUAUGCAGCCUUGACGAGGAAAGAAAUCCUAACAGACAUUUCAACGCAGGAAAAGCCACCUCUUCUUCAGUCACCUGCGGAGGUUGUGACCCGGCUCUCAUUGUUGAAGAACUAGGCACUGGCUCCAGUCAUUGGCUUCUCUCUCCUCUGCAGGUCAUGGGCUGGAGCCUGCUGUCUCCUCAGUGACAAACUGCUACCACCUGAUGUAAUAUGUCAAACCAGGCCUGAAAACUCCUCCAACAAGAUGGUUGGUUUGGCCUCAGGCACUUGUGAGUGUUCAGGGAUGUGCUGCCCUGAAUUUUUCCCAGCCUUUUAGGAUGUCUGUGGUUGCAGACUACGCACUGCAGAAGUAGCAGAUGCCAUUACGGCAGUAGAAAUGCAAUUAUGAAAAGGCACAGCCCUCUGCUUCUGCCAGGAGAGCCAGCAGUUGUGCCUCAAGGAGCACUACGUGUGAAUUCACCCAAGUCCAAGCGUUGGCCACGAGUUUCAGAGCUUAAGAAUCCUGAUUUGACAGUGCACUGGGAGCAGCACAAUGGCCCACAGAAAAAUCCACUAACUAUGCUCCUGAGACUGCUGUAUCCAGCCAGAAGAACAAGAAAUAAGGUUUUCAAAGUCACUGAGUCAACUUUUAUUGCUUCCCAAAUGAGUAAAAUGGAUUGAAGAGAAGCAGUGCCUUCCUCAAAGCCAUCAGCUCUGAGUCAGUAUGAAGACAUGAUAACUGGAGGACUGCAGUCAUUUUGCUACCAUGAGGAAAUAAACUAAGAACCAAUAUAUUCAAGGGUCUCUCUACACUGCUUAAUGGCCCAGACUGGGCUCCAAUUGCGAUCCUCCCGCCACAGCCUCCAAAGUGCAGGAUUACAGGCAUGUGCCACUCUGUCCAGCCUCAUCGUGUGUUUUAUUCCUUGUGGCCUUGUUCCUUGUAUAGGCUGUCAGCUGGCAUUUGGGAUGACUCUGGGGUUUACCCAGGAGAGACCUGGAGACAGCUGGCUACCUUUCCCAUCCACUGCAGCCCCAACAGAUGCCCGCUGUCUGGUGUGAGAAAGCACUGGGCUGGAGGGCAGAUGGGUCCUUCCAUUGCUGGCUGAACUAUCACAAAUGGACCUAACAAGGUGGAAGGACAGGCUGCAAAUUGAGAAGUGCUGCAGCAAAAUUGGAAAACAGAGACGGUAAAGGGGAAGUGAACAGUGAGUCUGGAAAGCAGUGUCACUGCAGCUGCUAAAAUGUCUUGGAAGGUUCAUCCUGGACACAGACUGCCGCAAUGUGUCAGUUCACCCAGAUCGACAGAUAGUGUAGUAUCCCAAAGCUGAAAACUGCAGGAGAAUCUAAUGGCUUCCCUUUUCAGCCCAUUCUUUUCAAAUAUCGGCAGACUCUUCUCAAUCCCUUGUUCAUGCUCAUUUUUACGGACAAUGUCUGAUCAUAAAACUAGACAUCAUGCAGGGUGCAGUCAUGCAAGCUUAUAAUCCUAGUACUUGGAAGCUGUUGUGGGAUGAUUACCAUGAGUUCAAGACCAGCCUAAAUUGUCUCAACCCAUCCCUGAAAAAGCUAAGUACCAAAGUAUAUCUCUAUCGGGGCUGGGGAUUUAGCUCAGCGGCAUAAGCGCCUGCCUUGCAAGCAGGCAGUCGUGAGUUCGAUCCCUGGUACCGAUAAAAAGAAAAAAGACAAAAAAAAAACAAAAA